rnacentral:rRNA from 1 species
GUUGGCUCAGAAGCAGCCACUCAUUCAAAGAGUGCGUAAUAGCUCACUGGUCGAGCGUCUUUGCGCGGAGAAUUUAACGGGGCUAAACCUGACACCGAAGCUUAGGCAAUACAGCAAUGUAUUGGGUAGGGGAGCGUUGUAUACGCGGUGAAACAGUAGCGCAAGCGGCUGUGGAGUGUAUAGAAGUGAGAAUGCCGGAAUGAGUAGCGCGAAUGCAGUGAGAAUCUGCAUGGCCGAAAGCCUCAGGUUUCUGGAGGAAGGUUCGUCCGCUCCAGGUCAGUCGGGAGCUAAGGUGAGGCCUAACGGCGUAGCCGAUGCACAGACGGUAGAGAUUCCGUCACCACCAAAAGAGUUAAGCACAGGGACACAUAUGAAGUCUCGGAGCCGGGUGUUGGUUCCGGUAGCGAUCGAGGGAAGUUAGUACCGAAGUCCGGGAUGGAAGAUGGCGAGAAAAGCUGUGUGAAUUUCUGCGGUGCCCGUACCGCAAACCGACACAGGUAGGUAGGAAGAAGAUUCUAAGGCCAACGGGAGAAGGGUUGUUAAGGAACUCGGCAAAUUGACCCCGUAACUUCGGGAGAAGGGGUGCUGCAGCAAUGCAGCCGCAGAGAAUCGGCCCAAGCAACUGUUUACCAAAAACACAGGUUUGUGCUAAAUCGAAAGAUGACGUAUACGAGCUGACGCCUGCCCGGUGCUGGAAGGUUAAGAGGAGAUGUGCAAGCAUUGAAUCGAAGCCCCAGUGAACGGCGGCCGUAACUAUAACGGUCCUAAGGUAGCGAAAUUCCUUGUCAGGUAAGUUCUGACCCGCAUGAAAGGCGUAAUGAUUUGGGCACUGUCUCAACAGCCCGCCCGGCGAAAUUGUAGUACCGGUGAAGAUGCCGGUUACCCGCGACAAGACGGAAAGACCCCAUGGAGCUUUACUGUAGCCUAAUAUUGGGUUUCGAUGUUGCAUGCACAGGAUAGAUGGGACACUGGGAAGCAGGUGCUUUGGCGCUUGUGGAGUGGCCGUUGGGAUACCAUCCUUGCGAUAUUGGAAUUCUAACCUGCGCCUUUGAAUCAAGGCGGGGGACAUUGUUAGGUGGGCAGUUUGACUGGGGCGGUCGCCUCCUAAAGAGUAACGGAGGCGUUCAAAGGUUCGCUCAGCUUGAACGGAAAUCAAGCAAAAGAGUGCAAACGCAGAAGCGAGCCUAACUGCGAGACUGACGGGUCGAGCAGUAACGAAAGUUGGAGUUAGUGAUCCGGUGGUAUGUGAGUGGAAAUGCCAUCGCUCAACGGAUAAAAGUUACCCUGGGGAUAACAGGCUGAUCUCCCCCAAGAGUCCACAUCGACGGGGAGGUUUGGCACCUCGAUGUCGGCUCAUCGCAUCCUGGGGCUGUAUUCGGUCCCAAGGGUUUGGCUGUUCGCCAAUUAAAGCGGUACGCGAGCUGGGUUCAGAACGUCGUGAGACAGUUCGGUCCCUAUCUGUCGUGGGCGCAGGAUAUUUGAUGGGAGCUGUUCCUAGUACGAGAGGACCGGAGCGGACGUACCUCUGGCGCACCAGUUGUUCUGCCAAGAGCAUAGCUGGGCAACUAUGUACGGAUCGGAUAAACGCUGAAAGCAUCUAAGCGUGAAGCCGACCCAAAGAUAAGAUAUCCCAUUGUUUCAAACAAGUAAGACCCCUUGAAGACUACAAGGUUGAUAGGCACGAUGUGUAAGUGGAGCGAUCCAUUCAGCAAGCGUGUACUAAUAGGUCGAGGGCUUGACCAC